CAGUAGCCGCGGUAAUACGUAGGUGGCAAGCGUUGUCCGGAAUUAUUGGGCGUAAAGGGCUCGCAGGCGGUUUCUUAAGUCUGAUGUGAAAGCCCCCGGUUCAACCGGGGAGGGUCAUUGGAAACUGGGAAACUUGAGUGCAGAAGAGGAGAGUGGAAUUCCACGUGUAGCGGUGAAAUGCGUAGAGAUGUGGAGGAACACCAGUGGCGAAGGCGACUCUCUGGUCUGUAACUGACGCUGAGGAGCGAAAGCGUGGGGAGCGAACAGGAUUAGAUACCCCAGUAGUCCCUGUCUCUUAUAA
rnacentral:rRNA from 1 species